rnacentral:rRNA from 1 species
UGCGUAGGUGGACUGGUAAGUACCUUGUGAAAUCCCACGGCUUAACCGUGGAACUGCUGGGUAUACUGCUGGUCUUGAGCAACCUAGGGGCGAGUGGAACAAAUGGUGGAGCGGUGAAAUGCGUAGAUAUCAUUUGGAACGCCAAUGGUGAAAACAACUCGCUGGGGGUUUGCUGACACUGAGACACGAAAGCCAGGGGGAGCAAACGGGGAUUAGAUACCCCGGUAGUCCUGGCCAUAAACGAUGUCCACUAGAUCGUAGUAGCUCUGACGUUAUUACGGUCGAAGCAAAAGUGCUAAGUGGACCGCCUGGGAAGUACGGUCGCAAGGCUAAA